rnacentral:piRNA from 1 species
UGGCACAUAUGUGGUGUUGGUCCUGUGU